AUAUAUCGCCCAGCCCUAGUUUGAACUUAAAAACAUCUUGAUGGAUUUGUUUCUUACAAACAUGCAUUUUUCACUUCACAAGAUGUUAAUUGAUGUACUAGAGUGGUGUGGAUUUUUUAUUUAUUUUGGAGUUUAUCAUCUGUUUGGACUGUCAUUCUGACGGCACCCAUUCACUGCAGAGGAACCAUUGGUGAGAUUCAAGGUGAGACUUUAUUAUUGUAAACCAGCCAACACUUUCAAACAACCUCCCUUGCGUGAGAAGGAAAAAUUAGUCUUCAACAAUGGAGUUCCCAUCAGCUACAGACUUCAUUGUGUCCAGACCACCGCGGUUCAAAGCUAAGGAUUUUGAUUCCAAGCACGAAUAAACGGCAAAACCUCACAUCCAUAAACAACAGUGUGCUGUGCAACAAAUUCAGGGUUUUUCAGCCAGGUUUGCAUUGGGAGGUUAACUUGGACGGCUCACAUGUGAAGUUGUGAAGGAGGUCAAGAUGACGGAAAUCAACAAUGUCAGAUCAUCUUGAGAAUCCGGUAGCUCAUGGCACGGCAUGAUGCUGUGUAAGCUCCAUCUGUUUGGCGCGCGGCUGGUGACAAACUGCGAGAGAGGAGGCCUAGUCAGUCGCUGUGGAUUGCAUUGCGGUGGAACCAAUCGGCACCUUCCCACAUGGCCCAAAGAGAAAGCCCCCCGGGAAACCCUUCAACACGGCCAGCCUACAACCCAGCACACAAUUUGUGCUCCACCAAAUAUGAAGCCAACUUUCUACCAACCCUGACUUCACCCUUGAUCAGUACAAAACAAAAAAUGAGGGCAGCAGAAAAUGAAAUAAAAAUGAAGGAUUUGAGAGAUCAAAGCGUUAAAAGAGUAGUUCAGCCAAAAAUAAUAAUAAAAAAAAGUCUGGUAUUAUUUACUCAUGUUGUCCCAAAUUCAACUGCUGUUAUUCAUUUAUUUAUUUAUGGAACAUACACAUAUAUAUAUUAUUUUGACAAAAUUAAUAGAAGGACUCCUAUCACAGAAAGAUACAAAACAAAUUUUUGAACAUUUAUGUUUUUGGUUCCUCGCUGGUUUAACAACCUUCCCAUCCUUAUCCAGGCAGCCGAAUCCCUCACAAUAUUCAAGAAAUGACUAAAAACUAAUCUUUUUACUGAGGGAACUUAAAUGCAUCCCACUGAUGUUUACUCUUUGUUGUACUCCUCAUUUGUUAGUCAGUUUAGAUAAAAGUG
ensembl:lncRNA